rfam:TPA: Bos taurus chromosome 7, whole genome shotgun sequence.
UCCCUGGUGGCUCAGAUGGUAAAGCAUCUGCCUGCAAUGCGGGAGACCUGGGUUCGAUCCCUGGGUUGGGAA